ensembl:lncRNA BHLHE22-AS1 BHLHE22 antisense RNA 1
AGGCGCCGAGCGCCGGGUGCAGGGCAGCAGCUGCUGCCGCUGCAGCCGCCGAGCUGGGCAGGGAGGCAGCCGAGAUGGCCUGGCCCUGGUUGAGGGCAAUGAAAACACAUCUGCCCGGUGUCUCGUUACUUGGUUUAAUCGUCGCCAGCCCUAAGUCACGGCCUCGGCUCCCUCUCCUCAACUGUGUGGGAUCCCGCCGCCUGGUUUCGGCCGGGCGGAGGGGUGACGUCAGCCGCUCACACAGUGCCCCCUGGCCGCUGGAGCUCGGGAAAUCUGUGCGCUCGAACUUGGCUCCGCCAAGAAGCUGGGCAAGGAUCCGGGCUCCUGAUGGAACUGGCAAGUUGGAAAAGUGGCAAAGGAAAAGCCAACAUGAGCGCUUUCGGCUUGCGCGGGCAGAAAGGGUGGGAAAUCAGGCCACGGCGAAAUCUUCUGACUCACAGAUGACCGCUUAGAAUGAAAACUACGGAAGGGAAGUCCUCUGACUCUGCAGUUUCACAGAGAGUCACUGAGUUACCAAAGCAGUUGGGAAACAGAGGCAGAGGACUGCCCCCACUCUGUCCGCAGCAGGGGUAUGGGAGGCAGCUCGGGACACUCCAGGGACCAAGCGGGCAGUGGGCGCCGUCCCCGAGGAACACCCAGCCCAGCGCCCCUGGUUCUGGGCUGGUUGGCUUAUCGAGGCCGGUUGGCCAAAGCAUCAGGAAAGGGAACAUUCUCGGCCGGGUGUUGGAUACCAAAUUAUAAACGCCAGAGCACCUUGUGUAAAGAUGAAUAUCGUUUUGUUACUGCGGGAGGGAAUACACCUACUGCUUUGAAAGGAGUUUAAAAUAUUCAGCAGACAGCACCGCAUUGAAAUUAGUGCAUUGAGCUGCAGACCAAACUAAUUUCUAGGUACUAUUUAAAUUUCUUAAUGAUCAUCUUGAUAUUUGCUUGAAAUUUGAGAUAGGAACCCAAGUAAAAUCAGAAUGGAACAUAAUCUACUCUAAAGAGUAAAGCCAGAAGUUCGUCUUUGUUAUUUUUAUAGUACUGAUAAAUAGUUUAUUACUUCACUAGUUUGAAAAGUUACAAGUCUGAAUUUGGGUAGCUAUGUGUAUCUUCUGAGAAGGAAAAUUGUCUCUCUGUGUUUUUCAAUUUAUCUCUUUCAGAACAGUCUAAAAAGUAAAAACAAAGUUUGGCAAAAAUGACAACUUUGCUUGAGAACAGCUCUGGAAAAGCGAAUCCACUGAGAGCCGUGGGAAUUCUCCGCCAGCUGUGCUUCCCCAACCGAGGAAGAAUCCAACCCGGAAUAUCGUUUCUGGACCCCACCGCGGAGACCCCAGCUGGACCCUCUCCUGAAAACUGCCCGGGGAGGGGGGUGCGGUCUCAGCGCCCUCCACUGCGGGGUCCAAGGCGCAGUAGCGGGGCGCGACCCCAGCGCUCCAAGCCCAGCAUUCUUGGCAGCUCUCCAGGCCCCAGUCAGAGGCACAUUGACCUUGAAGUUGCACUUGACUCGCCCACUCGGGGCUGCCUGGUGGCGCCUGGGUCAGCUUGAAACCCACGCAGCUGAGGGAGCUAGGUGUGGGGUUCACCAUACUGCGCCCCCGCCGGAUUUGGGAGCGCGGGAUCUACUCGGAGGCAGAGAGAUUAGCCCCAGAGGUCAAGCCUUUCGGCGUCGUUUUGUCAUCUGUAUUUUCUCGUCCCCUUCGCCGCCGAGUCCUACAAAGCUCACUUCAGAGAGACUGGGUCCACAUGUGUGGGCUCAUGAGGAGGAGGACAGCGAGGGUGACGACGCUGGGGGACUAGCGCGAGCUGGCGCAUUCCUGGCAGUGAGCCAAGGGCCCCCCGUCUUGCUAGUCUUUCCAAGUUGCUUGGCAAUUCCAAAAAUUUCGACUGUGGGAAAGUUGAAACUUGUUCGUAUAGCGUUCUUUCGAAAAGAUUUUCCUUGUCUGUAUCUAUUUUACAGAAAACAUACUGGUCCUCACUACUGUUUGGGGACGAGUUAGCCUAAAUUUGAACAGACCUUGAAGACAAACCCUGAGCCCCGGGAGGCAGCCUUCUCAGCGCGAGGUGCACACACAAGUCCCCGAGCCCACCGCGAGGGUCUCACCUGGCUCCUGCGUGGUCUUUCCCCACUUUGGCGACUUUGAAGGCCAGGGGGACCGUACAGUGAGCGAAUAACUUAGCGCCUGCAUUAUCACUGCUGAAACCUCAGAGAACAAUGUAGGACAUGCGGGUGCAGGUAGAGCAAAACUAGUGAAAAGAGUUUAUGAGGAAUUCAUACCGCCUCGCCUACUUGGGACAACUCCUUCAUUCAGUUGUCCUCCCUAGGGGGCUGUUAUGCUUAUUUGUGUCAGACCCUUCUUUCCCCUGGAAUCUUAUCAUCACAGAAUAUUAAACAUUUGAAAAAAUUUUAAAGAUUAAACUUGUUCGAGGAAAAAAUGGUAAACACUGUUAGGGAUUGCCUGGCGUGCACAAAUUAAGGAAAGAAAGAAACUGAAAAUUUCAGCGCGGCUUUGGGAAUUUUUAGCUUUGCGAUUUAAAACCCACAGCGCCAUCUCCUGGUAAUGAGGAGAAUAUAGCGAUGGAUGACAAUACUGAAAUGCUGACUAUGAAAUACUCAAAUAUGAGAAACGCCUCAAAAAUUAUUUCAGUGAUAGGUUGAUUAUGAUUACAAAAUAUGAUCUGACAUGGACAUUUAUUAUCAUUAAAAGUUAUCAGACACAAUCCUGGAAGCUAAUUAUUUGUAAAUAGAAGUUUGUAUAUUUAUACAUACAUGUAUUUUAUAGAUUCAGACGCUUAUGCUGUGAAUUUACAAGAUAUGAUUCUAUAAUUUAUCAUAAAUACAUAAUUUUACAAAACAGUUCCCUGUUUUACUUUUUGUGAAUGAUUUUACCAUAUAUGGUAGAAAAAGAAUAAUAGGAUGUGGUGAUCUAUGGAGACAUAAAAUCUUCUAGAUCCUCAUUGUAU